rnacentral:rRNA from 1 species
UUCCAGACUCCUACGGGAGGCAGCAGUGGGGAAUAUUGCACAAUGGGGGAAACCCUGAUGCAGCGACGCCGCGUGAGUGAAGAAGUCUUUCGGUAUGUAAAGCUCUAUCAGCAGGGAAGAUAAUGACGGUACCUGACUAAGAAGCCCCGGCUAACUACGUGCCAGCAGCCGCGGUAAUACGUAGGGGGCAAGCGUUAUCCGGAUUUACUGGGUGUAAAGGGUGCGCAGGUGGCAGGGCAAGUCAGAUGUGAAAGCCCGGGGCUCAACCCCGGUAUUGCAUUUGAAACUGUCCGGCUAGAGUGCAGGAGAGGUAAGCGGAAUUCCUAGUGUAGCGGUGAAAUGCGUAGAUAUUAGGAGGAACACCAGUGGCGAAGGCGGCUUACUGGACUGCAACUGACGUUGAGGCUCGAAGGCGUGGGGAGCAAACAGGAUUAGAUACCCGUGUAGA